GAUGAACGCUGGCGGCGUGCCUAACACAUGCAAGUCGAACGAACGGACCCGAAGUUUGCUGCGCUGUUGUUUGCCGAGGACGGGAGAGUAACAUGUGGAUAACCUACCUCACAGACUGGGAUAACUUCGGGAAACCGGAUCUUAUCGCGGAUGAUAUUUUGAACCGUGUGGUGCAAGAGUGAAAUACGGUCUUGGGGUCAGUUAUAGAUGGAUCUGCGCUGCAUUAGCGAGUUGGUAAGGUAACGGCUUACCAAGGCAACGAUGCAUAGCCGGCCUUAGAGGGUGAUCGGCCGCGUGGGAGCGGAGGCACAGACCAGACUCCUGAGAGAGGCCACAGUAGGGAAUCUUCCGCAAGGGGGGAAAGUCUGACAGAGGAACGCCGCGUGAGGGAUGAAGGUCUUGGGAGCGUUGAACGCUGUUGUGAGGGAAGAACAUAUGUGUAAGUAACUGGGCUUAUCUUGACGGUACCUGGUCAGAAAGCAACGGCUAACUACGUG
rnacentral:rRNA from 1 species